UACGUAGGGUGCGAGCGUUGUCCGGAAUUAUUGGGCGUAAAGAGCUUGUAGGCGGUUUGUCGCGUCUGCCGUGAAAAUUCGAGGCUCAACCUCGAACUUGCGGUGGGUACGGGCAGACUAGAGUGUGGUAGGGGAGACUGAAAUUCCUGGUGUAGCGGUGAAAUGCGCAGAUAUCAGGAGGAACACCGAUGGCGAAGGCAGGUCUCUGGGCCACUACUGACGCUGAGAAGCGAAAGCAUGGGGAGCGAACAGG
rnacentral:rRNA from 1 species